UGCUCCGGCAAGACCCUCCGACGUUCAAGUCAGUUCUCUGCCUCAACAAAAAUGGAGUGCUCGAAUGAGAAUUUUAGCAGAGUUUUGAGAUAGAAAUUAGAGCUUAGAGAAUAACGUAUCUGGGGUCCCCUUUUUAUAGGCGGAGGGCGUAACAGAUUGAUAGCGAUGUUUGUAACCGCCUGGUAGUGGGCCGUUCAGAGACGUGCGGAGUUUGUUACGGAGAGUAGUGGCGUCAGAGG
rnacentral:lncRNA from 1 species